CUUGAAAAUUCAAACCCAUUCAAAACCACCACGCUCCCAGAAGGGACCUGAAGCACAGCUAAAAGUGGGACAGGGGGCCUGGGGCAAACCCCAGCUUCUAACGCAAGAGCAGCUCUGCCAAAGCAUUACAGCAGACAGCACCCCACGGGCUUUGGGUCAGGCCCUAAAAACAGAGAAGGGGUGAAGAUAUGGGCAAAAGAUCACAUGGGACGCUAAGCAGGGAUCCAAGUGGAGACCAAGUAGGGAUCCAAGUAUUUCCAAGCAAAUGCUCUGCACAGAGCCAGCCCUCCAGCUAAAGCCAUGUGCAUAACACAUAGGAGGAGAGAGCAUUGCCAGCUGUCAAGUGGCAGGAAGGCUCCGGUAAGGGGCAACGCUUCUUUGUGCCUUAUGUCAGCGGGGAGCACCACGGCUCAGAAGGAACGCAUGAGGACGGGACAGAAAGAAAAGAGAGCUUCAGGAGCUUAUGAAAACGGACCCAGAAGAUUACAAGGGCUUUGUCACCCUUCCAAUCUCCCCAAACGAUCCACAGUCAGGGGGGUUCUCCCUUCACACGCGUGCUCAGCAGGCAAAGAUACAAUUCUGACUUACGGUUAUAUAUGAAUGAGUUAUUUUGGAGUAUUGAACACAGAGGAACUCAAGCUUUAUAAAGAGUUGUAAAAAGCACACGCAUCUCAAAUGAGUCCACGCGCACCAAGGCAAUUUGGACCAUUUUGUUUUUAUUUUCACCAAGGCUAAGAUCCACCACGGCAUGCACCAAGUGUUGGUUAGAGGAGACACACCGAGAGCCAUACGAACACCUGACAACCCGCUGACCUCGAAGAUGAGUUAUUUACACCGCGCUGGAAAUUAAUGCUGCAGGCGGAGAUGCGCGGGUACCUGAGGUCCGCUUCCUUCCUCUUAACGGAGCAAUACCGGCACAGAGAGGGGAAAAAAAAUAAUAAUAAUAAGGGAAAAAAUAAUACUACUCCUAACAGACAAGAGGGUACGGGACUGAGGCAGGCGGACGCCUCGGGGGCGGCGGGUGGGACCCGGAGCGGCCCCGGGGAUGUCCAGAAGUUGCGCCGCUCCCGCCGCCCCCGCGGCCGCUCCCCGCGGGGCGCUCCCGGCUGCGCGGGCGCUGCCUCCCCGCAACGGAGCGACAGCGGCGCCGGAGCCGCUCUCUCUGCUUCUGGGCGAGAGGAGAAAUAACCUCCAAAUGAAGAACUUAAUGAGGAGUGGGGAGGGGUGGCGGCUCCCGCCGCGCGUUUGCAGCGGGGUGAGCGGGAUCUGCAGGUAAGCGGGAGGGAAGGAGGAAGAGGAGGAAGGCGGAGGGGUCCCGCGGUACUCACGGCGAGGAGCGGGGGGCCGGCGGGCGGCCAAACCCCAUGGCCGGCGAUGGGCGAUCGGCGCUGCUGCUGUUGCGGCAGCCGCCGUCUGCGGGCUGUGCGCGGGGCUCCACUGUCCGGUGGGCGCCCAUAUCACCCCCUUCCGCACCCGACGUUCACUACCUGCUCCCCGGAUCAGCACCCUGAAGUGCCUUCCGUCCACCCCCAUCGCUGGGACACCGAGAUUGCGCUCGUAGGGAUCCCAAAGGUGAUGGCAGCGGGAAGAAUUGGAAGGAAAUUCAGUGCUUCUCAGGGGUGAAAGUGUGUUUUGCGUCGUUAAUAAUAAAAAAGUGCACGUCAUAAAUAAUAUCUUCGUUGCGUCCCGCAUCUGACAUUUUUAAGAUUGCUAUAAAAUGCUGUCGAAUUAAAAAGCGUCAUUAAAGGAACCCCCAGACAGAUACAUUCAGCUGAUGAAGUGUCUGCUCUAACUAUUUAACAACAUAAUGCCGGCUUUUUUAGUGUUGGUGUGCGAGGGUUGGAGCCCAGCCGAGAAGCGCGGAGGUUAUAGCACCUCCAGGAAAGCAAAUGCUGCUCUGCUCCUCUCCCUGGUCCCGGUGGGGGCCAUAGAAGAUACACAUCCACAGCAUGUGUCAGGGGCGAGCUCUGAAGGAUGCUGGGCAGCUGGGGAAUAAGUAGCUCUGUGAAGCAUAUGAGUUUACAGUUAUUAAUCUAUUUACCCAAACUGCCCACGUUGUUGGUUUAUUGCAUCCAGCACAACUGACUUCCACUGGAAGCUGUAAGGCGCUACGUAGGAGCUGUAAGUCAUCAAUCACUGCCGAGCUCAUUUCCAUACUUGCAUUAGUUAAAGGCGUGAAGUGUGAUUGCAGACCGGUGCCACAUUGCAUACCACUCUGCAGAUAUUUGCAUUGGGGUUUAAGCACCUGCAGCAGGCUGAGCAUGGAGCAUGGACCCACAGAUCCAUAAACUGGCUCAUAAACCCAUAGGGGGACUCCCCCAUCCCAACUCUGCCCCUGGAUGCUACAGAGCAACAUCGUGUUGUGUCCUUCCUAAGUGGGGUGUGGAAGAAGUUAAAUCAAAAGUAAAGAGGGUGAAAGAAAAUACUUUGUUUAAAAAAUUAUUUUACACAGAGUAUAUUAAGGCAAAUAAUUGCUGCUGGGGAGAAGCAGAGUAUUAAAUAGCUGUUUUCCCAAGAGCUGCUGGGGGUGGGAUAGCUCCUGAAGGAGCUCUGUGUGAUCAACCAUGACAGCUUCUGUACCCUUCCUUUGCCUUGGAGCAAAGUGGUUGAGUUUUCUGCUUCAUUUGCUUCCUGAUGACUGUGGGUAAGUGGGUCUGUCUGUGAGGAAGUCUCUGGCAAUGGCUUGCCAGCUAUCGGGCUGUACAGCAGCCUUCGGGAUCCCACCUAAAAAAUUGUUGAGGUUAU
rnacentral:lncRNA from 1 species